UGUUUCGGCUAGGGGGUCAUCCCGACUUACCAACCCGAUGCAAACUACGAAUACCGAAGAAUGUUAUCACGGGAGACACACGGCGGGUGCUAACGUCCGUCGUGAAGAGGGAAACAACCCAGACCGCCAGCUAAGGUCCCAAAGUCAUGGUUAAGUGGGAAACGAUGUGGGAAGGCACAGACAGCCAGGAUGUUGGCUUAGAAGCAGCCAUCAUUUAAAGAAAGCGUAAUAGCUCACUGGUCGAGUCGGCCUGCGCGGAAGAUGUAACGGGGCUAAACCAUGCACCGAAGCUGCGGCAGCGACACUAUGUGUUGUUGGGUAGGGGAGCGUUCUGUAAGCCUGCGAAGGUGUGCUGUGAGGCAUGCUGGAGGUAUCAGAAGUGCGAAUGCUGACAUAAGUAACGAUAAAGCGGGUGAAAAGCCCGCUCGCCGGAAGACCAAGGGUUCCUGUCCAACGUUAAUCGGGGCAGGGUGAGUCGACCCCUAAGGCGAGGCCGAAAGGCGUAGUCGAUGGGAAACAGGUUAAUAUUCCUGUACUUGGUGUUACUGCGAAGGGGGGACGGAGAAGGCUAUGUUAGCCGGGCGACGGUUGUCCCGGUUUAAGCAUGUAGGCUGGUUAUCCAGGCAAAUCCGGAUAAUCAAGGCUGAGGUGUGAUGACGAGGCACUACGGUGCUGAAGUAACAAAUGCCCUGCUUCCAGGAAAAGCCUCUAAGCAUCAGGUAACAUCAAAUCGUACCCCAAACCGACACAGGUGGUCAGGUAGAGAAUACCAAGGCGCUUGAGAGAACUCGGGUGAAGGAACUAGGCAAAAUGGUGCCGUAACUUCGGGAGAAGGCACGCUGGUGUGUAGGUGAAGUCCCUGCGGAUGGAGCUGAGACCAGUCGAAGAUACCAGCUGGCUGCAACUGUUUAUUAAAAACACAGCACUGUGCAAACACGAAAGUGGACGUAUACGGUGUGACGCCUGCCCGGUGCCGGAAGGUUAAUUGAUGGGGUUAUCCGUAAGGAGAAGCUCUUGAUCGAAGCCCCGGUAAACGGCGGCCGUAACUAUAACGGUCCUAAGGUAGCGAAAUUCCUUGUCGGGUAAGUUCCGACCUGCACGAAUGGCGUAAUGAUGGCCAGGCUGUCUCCACCCGAGACUCAGUGAAAUUGAACUCGCUGUGAAGAUGCAGUGUACCCGCGGCAAGACGGAAAGACCCCGUGAACCUUUACUAUAGCUUGACACUGAACAUUGAGCCUUGAUGUGUAGGAUAGGUGGGAGGCUUUGAAGCGUGGACGCCAGUCUGCGUGGAGCCAACCUUGAAAUACCACCCUUUAAUGUUUGAUGUUCUAACGUUGGCCCCUGACCGGGGUUGCGGACAGUGUCUGGUGGGUAGUUUGACUGGGGCGGUCUCCUCCCAAAGCGUAACGGAGGAGCACGAAGGUUAGCUAAUCCUGGUCGGACAUCAGGAGGUUAGUGCAAUGGCAUAAGCUAGCUUGACUGCGAGCGUGACGGCGCGAGCAGGUGCGAAAGCAGGUCAUAGUGAUCCGGUGGUUCUGAAUGGAAGGGCCAUCGCUCAACGGAUAAAAGGUACUCCGGGGAUAACAGGCUGAUACCGCCCAAGAGUUCAUAUCGACGGCGGUGUUUGGCACCUCGAUGUCGGCUCAUCACAUCCUGGGGCUGAAGUAGGUCCCAAGGGUAUGGCUGUUCGCCAUUUAAAGUGGUACGCGAGCUGGGUUUAGAACGUCGUGAGACAGUUCGGUCCCUAUCUGCCGUGGGCGCUGGAGAAUUGAGGGGGGCUGCUCCUAGUACGAGAGGACCGGAGUGGACGCAUCACUGGUGUUCGGGUUGUCAUGCCAAUGGCACUGCCCGGUAGCUAAAUGCGGAAGAGAUAAGUGCUGAAAGCAUCUAAGCACGAAACUUGCCCCGAGAUGAGUUCUCCCUGAGACUUUAAGUCUCCUGAAGGAACGUUAAAGACGAUGACGUUGAUAGGCCGGGUGUGUAAGCGCAGCGAUGCGUUGAGCUAACCGGUACUAAUGAACCGUGAGGCUUAACCUU
rnacentral:rRNA from 1 species